UGUAUGUGCAUCUUCAUGUUUACAAUAAUUAUGAGAGAGCUCCUGUUCAAUUCUAUCUAAAAAGCUUUACAUACGUCUCCUGUGGUCUGACCUCAAAAUGAAAUCAGGGAACCCACGAAAUUUGUACUUUAAAACUCGGGAACUUCUUCUUUUCAUUCCCGCAGGAUAUGCCUCAAUUUCUAUAAUUAUUGUUGAGCGUAUUGAUACAAGGGAGCGUACUCAGAUUACCUUUUCACUCUUCAUGCCAUUACCAUGUACAGUAAAAUUAUAUGUAUAAAACAUAACUAGCUAUUUUAUCUGCUGCUACAAUGUACAUUAUUGAUACGCGAUUAGAUGUGUCUUAAUAAAUAGACUCCAACAAAGCCGACUAUGUUGAGUAAACCAAACCACUCAGAAUGUGGACGUUUAUUGAUACGCGAUUAGAUGUGUCUUAAUAGACUCCAACAAAGCCGACUAUGUUGAGUAAACCAAACCACUCAGAAUGUGGACGUCUAUUGAUACGCGAUUAGAUUUGUCUUAUUAGACUCAAACAAAGCUGACAAUGUUGAGUUGAGUAAUCCAAACCAUGUACAAUAAUUAUUUGUGAUCUUACCGCUGAUCUGACAUCACCCGGGUCCCUGAUCAUGAUAUGGCAGGCUUGGAUGUGUUCCCUCAGCUUGCGGUUGUAUCAGAAUGUGGACGUCUAUUGAUACGCGAUUAUAUUUGUCUUAAUAGACUCCAACAAAGCCGACAAUGUUGAGUAAACCAAACCACUCAGAAUGUGACACUCAUUGCGGAAUUUUCUUACAAUACUCUCAAGAACAUAUUUUCUAGAGGGUUUGUUGGUCACAGUUCAGUGGGCACAACCACAGCUAUAACCUUCCGUAGACACUCUGCCUCGCUCAGUAGAUCUAAUGCUGUUAGUAAGAGGUCUGCCUAUAAUAAUUAUGAGGAGUAUAAUCGAUGCAGGUUACUAAUACCAUUAGAGAAACAUUCUAGGUUGUAUACACGUGUGCACGUACCUGUUGAGACCGAAUGGGAGGAAUAAUGGGGAAUACCCGAUUUCUAUUCCAGCGACAGAAACCCAAGUCUCGCAGUUGCCAGGCGAGGAACUUGUUGGCCCCUUGCCCCUGGUGGGCCUUGUAGGCCCUGUGCCCCUGGUAUACCCUGCGCCCCUGCUGGACCUGCUACAUCUAGAGGAAUGGGAGGGGACGGAUUAUGGGGAAUACCCUGUUACGGUUCCAACGGCAGAAACCCAAGCCCCGCAGCUGCCAUGCCAGGAACUUUACGGAUUGGUGGAUUGGUGGGAAGGGGGCCUGCAGAAAUAAAACACAUUAGCAACCUUGAACGUGCAUAUUAGUAUAAUGUGUGUGCAUGGUAACGAGGACAUGGACGGAGGGGGCCAUGGUCAUGCAGUGGAGGUGUAUGGUACAACGGCACGUCUGUGGUGAUGGUGUUUGUAUUUGGAAAGACAACCAGUUUUCUGAAUUUCGCAGUUAAGGAUUAAUCAUUUUUUUGUUUCAUGCGUCUAGUCGCUCGAGUCAUCUUUAUAUAAUUUAUACUUUCGACAUAAUUUUGUUCUGAAAUUUGUCCUGCUGUUUUUUAAAUGUAGCAUGGCAGGCAGUAAAGCUUCAUUUGAGAACAUAAUUAUGAGUAAAUAUUAAAUUUGUUUUGGAUAUUUUAUUUUUUGCAAAAGCACUAAGAUUUCUGAAAGAACAAUUAUUGUAACUGACGUUUAUAACUACUUAGCUACUACGCACGCUGCAACACCACUCUAGCUGUACUAUAAUUAUAGCGACUUACUGUGGCGGCAGCUCCUGUCUGCAGAUACUGUGUGGACAUAGAACUUCUCAUUGGUCCAACUCCUUCCCGUACUGGAAUAAAUUAUUCUAAUUUGGUUAUUUUAUUUUUUUGCAAAAGCUCUUAUUAUUGCAAGAAACAAGUCCUCAACUUAAACUAUACUAGCAGCUACUUCUGAUUGAUAGUGACAGGGGCGUUGCUACUCGAGGACUUCUCAUUGGUCCAACUCUUCCCUGUACUGGAGUAUUAAGUGAUUAAGUGAUUUUUUUUUUUUAAGCACUGGAUUUCUGAAGAACAUUAUUUUUAACUACUUACGCUAAUAUGUGGACAUAAAAACUUCUCAUAGGUCCAACUCCUAUUCCCAUACUGGAGUAAAUUAAUUGAGUGAUUUGUUUUAUUUUUUGAAAAAGCAAAUUUCAGUAAUACAGUCACUUAAUUCCAAAUAAUGUUGGUGGUAUCUAAACUCUUAAAUAUGCUCAGCACAUUGUAAGUGUUGAUGCAGCCUUAGUUUAUUAGAAGAUAUCACCUUCAGAUACUUCCUAUAACAGAUAAAAAUAGAAUGUAAAAAAUACAUCAAUAGGAGUGUGUACAUUAAUUAAAGAGUUUUUUGGCAAAUGUUGGCUUUAUGUCGUUAUUAUCUUGGUUAGCUUGCUUUUCAGCGACCAAUCGUAAAUAUUAAUAUUAAUUAAUUUUUUAUUAUAUUAGUAAACUGACAUUUAUAACUAAAUAUGCUUUCAUGUCUCAGUGACUUCAUUCUCAAAUGGCAAUAGAUCAUCAGCAUAAGAAACAACAUUUGGAUCAGUAAUAAAAUGACAACAAAUGAACAGCAAUGAUAUUACAUAUCCGUCUACAAAAACACACAUACGUUAUAAAAAAAAUAACUAAAAAUGUCUUUAACUACUUUUGUCUUCGGUUGCUCGCUUGAUAUUACACUAAUACUUGGACGAGUGUACCACAGAGCAACAGAGAGUUGCAGUCAGUGUUAGGGCCACUUCAUCAUCGAUCGUACCACAGAGCAAGGAUGAAGAGGCACUGGGCACAUAAAUGACAUCAUUUAUGCUUACGAACACUGGCCAUCAUCUUCGCCAAUAUGUCUUGCUUCUUGGUUAGCUUGCUUUUCAGCGACCAAUCGUAAAUAUUAAUAUUAAUUAAUUUUUUUACUUAUUACAAAAAACAAGCCAUACUAUAAUUAUUACUACUUCUGGUUGAUAGUGACAGGGACAUUGAAGAUCUAACUACUUAGCUACUACGCACGCUGCAACACCACUCUAUAGCUGUACUAUAUAGCGACUUACUGUGGCGGCAGCUCCUAGCUGCAGAUACUGUGUGGACAUAAGAACUUCUCAUUGGUCCAACUCCUUCCCGUACUGGAGUAAAUAUUCAUCCUAAUUUGAUUAUUUUAUUUUUUUUGCAAAAGCACUUAUUGUGCAAGAAACAGUCCUCAACUUAAACUAUACUAGCAGCUACUUCUGAUUGAUAGUGACAGGCAUUGACUACUCGAGGACUUCUCAUUGGUCCAACUCUUUCCCGUACUGAGUAUUAAGUGAUUAAGUGAUUUUUUUUUGAUUUUUUGCAAAAGCACUGGAUUUCUGAAGAACAUUAUUUUUCAAUAGUAAACUGACGUUUACAACUACUUUACGCUAAUAUGUGGACAGAAUCAUAGGUCCAACUCCUAUUCCCAUACUGGAGUAAAUUCAUGUUACGUAAUUAAGUGAUCAUUAUUUUUUUGUUUUAUUUUUUGCAAAAGCACUAGAUAUCUAAAUUUACAAUAGUAAACUAACGUUUAUAACUACUUACGCUAAUACUUGGGCGGGUAGGAUGAAGAAGCACUGGGGCACAAACAUUGACAUCAUUUAUGCUUACGAACACUGACCAUCAUAUCUUCGCCAAGAUGUCUUGCUUCCUGGUUCGCUUGCUUUUCAUUCACUCUAACUGUUCUUUUAGCGACCAAUCCCAACAAGAGCCCGUGGCCAAUCACCUGGAGAACGACCCUCUUAUGAUAGCGCCCGAUUUCUUUCAGGCAUGUGAACAAUAAUUCAUGUUUGAAAUGCAUCAGGAAUAAACUCUAACAUGUUGGCUACGCACGCUGCACAACACCAUCCUAUAGCUACUUCUAUACCGGUAGCUCCUGGCUCCAGAAGCAAAAAAAACCUGCAAGAAAGGAAACAAUCGGUGAAAAAUUAGAAACUUACUAUCUGCUUCUUGAGAUCAUCAAUCUCGUCUGUGUUGGCUGGAUCACCCUUCUCUCCUCUGAAACCUCUUUCCCCAUCCCGACCAAUGGCUCCCCUCGUGCCCCGUUAUGUUCUGUAGCAUGUGGAUAUAAGAACUUCUCUCGUUGGUCCAACUCCUCUUUUCAUCUGGAGUAAAUAUUUAGUUUUUAUUUUUUUGCAAAAGUACUGAAAUAACAAUUAUCUAAGCGAGCGUACUGAGGUAAUAUUUUCCCCCACUCUUCAUUUUCCUUGCUUCUAUCAUUUUCCUCUUCCUUCCUCCUUCUCUUUCUUGAAACCCACAAGACAGGUGAGUUGGCGCCGAUGUUUUUGCCUCCACACUGCCAACGAUACUUUAUGUCACUGGAAUGGCCACUGGCUAUACAAUAAAAUUAAUAGGCUGAUCUUCACGAAGCUUCAUAUACAUUUCUACAUAGUCUCUUAGUUUAGUUCUAUUGGUCAGGUCGUCCCAUUCAAUGGGUGACCCCUUCGGUUUCUGGAAGUGUAUAGACAUUUCUUGAGGAUCGAUGAACCUAGCACUUGGACGGGUAGGAUGAAGAAAGCACUGGGGCACAUAAACGUUCACUGCUGUGACUGAACUAAACAAGACUAAAAAAAUUAAAUGGAGACUUUAUAUCGUUGUACCGAGAUUCUCAUUCUGGAUCCUUGUAGUGUGCAUGAACGUCUCUCUCACACAAUUUAUGUUUGCAUGCACUAGCUUUAUCUUGGGCACUGUAAACUUACGAAACUUACGGUGGACCUGCUCCAGGUGUUCAACAUACUGUGUCGCCUCUAGGAAGGAGUAUUCCUUACUGGAUCCUUUUGGAGUCGUUGACAAGAUUUGGCAUUCAGAUUAGUAAAAGAACACAGCGAAUUGCAAGCUGUUAUAAUUUAUACCAAUUCAAUCUCGCAUGUACUAUAAGAACUUCUCAUUGGUCCAAUUUAUCUUCUUGUACUGGAGUAAAUAUUCAUUUGAUGAGUGACUUGUAGUUACAUUUAUUUUAUUAAUUUGCACAUGGCUUGUUUGGGAUUUUUUUCCUUUGGGGGUUCAUGGGACAAUCUCAUUGUGGGUGCCGAUUGCACACAGAACACGGCAUAGCGUCAUGCCGCCUAAGUCUGCACAGUACACACAUACCUGGUGCAGGAGUGGAGGGUUUUAGAGACUGGAGAUAGUCAAUAACUCCAGCCUUUGUGCAGGAGUGGAGGGUUUCAGAGACUGGAGAUAGUCAAUGACUCAAGCCUCUGUGCAGGAGUGGAGGGUUUUAGAGACUGGAGAUAGUCAAUAACUCCAGCCUUUGUGCAGGAGUGGAGGGUUUCAGAGACUGGAGAUAGUCAAUGACUCAAGCCUCUGUGCAGGAGUGGAGGGUUUCAGAGACUAGAGAUAGUCAACAACUCCAGCCUCUGUGGGCGGCCUUCCUGCUAGUGAAGGCAGACAGUGUUAAUCUGCUUAGUACUUUUACAGUUCUUGAUAGGAGUACACACAUACCUGGUUCAGGAGUGGAGGGGACUAGAGAUAGUCAACGACUCCAGCCUCUGUGCAGGAGUGGAGGGUUUCAGAGACUAGAGAUAGUCAACAACUCCAGCCUCUGUGGGCGGCCUUCCUGCUAGUGAAGGCAGACAGUGUUAAUCUGCUUAGUACUUUUACAGUUCUUGAUAGGAGUACACACAUACCUGGUUCAGGAGUGGAGGGUUUCCGUAUAGACUGGCGCAUGAUUCACUUGCGUUCUCAAGCACCAAUUGUCACUCUUGAGUAACUACCGAAUAACAAUUAUUACACAAAUGCUGUUUAUAACUUCCUACCCUAAGCGAGUUGGCUCCAAUGUUUACUGACAGUACAUGAAUAUGUGCCGGGUACCCAAACCCACAAGACAAGCGAGUUGGCGCCGAUGUUUUUGCCUCCACACUGCCAACGAUACUUAUGUCAAUGGAAUGGCCACUGGCUAUACAAUAAAUAGAUCUUCGUGCUUCAUAUAGACAUUUCUUGAGGAUCGAUGAACCAGCACUUGGACGGGUAGGAUGAAGAAAGCACUGGGGCACAUAAACGUUCACUGGUGUGACUGAACUAAAAAAUAAAAUGGAAAAUUAUAUUGUUGACAAUUCAAAUAUUUGUUAGUGCGCGCUGUGAACCUAAGUUAAGGUGCAGUAAAAAAAAAAAGUUGUGUACAUGAACGUCUCGUAUAAUUUAAUGGUACUUACGGUGGACCUGCUCCAGGUGUUUGACGUACUGUGUCGCCUAUCAGAAGGAGUGAUCCUUACAAUCAGCUCGUGUCCAUGAUCCAAGUUCAUUCUGUAAUUGAACACAUUUUUGACCAUUCUUCCACUACGAGGUGCAUAUCUCUUAUGGUGCAGAAAUGUUGGAACGGACACUGCCGCCAUACUGAAUUUCUUCUAAAAGAAUAUUAAUUUUUUUUUUCCAAAUUAUAACAAUUAUUAACAGUUUUCUCCUCAUGGCCCAUGACAUGGGGCCGGUGUACGGGUGGCAACAUUUGGGGUGGCCAUGGCCCCCAAAAUCUCUUCCAUGACGUCCUCCUGCUCUACGUCCACGUCCCCUAUAACUAUACAACUGACAUUACUUGGUGCUUACUCCAAAUUAAAGUCGCGGCCUGCCAUUUUUAGCAAAACUUUUGAUGGCUGCGGCCAAAAGAUGUUCUAGCUGCCCCAUCACCUCCAUAACUGCAUGAAUUGUGUAUCUCCUUUCUCUGGGCUGGCCAGGAUCUUGGAAAGAACGCCACUUGUACAACAUAAUCUGUAGAGAUUUGCUACAGGUUUUCCUAAACACUCGAAAACUCGACCAGCUGAACCACUUGGACCUCCCUUACACAGGGGGGAGCUCUCAUCAAUGGUACAAAUUACAUGACUCCGCGGUAUGAGUUUCGGCCUCCAUAGCACUAGCCGUCGUCAGCCCUCUCAAAGCCUCCUCAACGGUGGGUGGUAGAGGUUGAGGGAGUAGUCCCGCCAGUGUAAACUACGAGGGCGUAAAGUUACUAGCGCUCUCUGCAAGAAAAGGACACGGUGAAAAAAUAAUCAAUGAUUGUAAUACACAAUAAAAUUAAUUUAUUUGUAAGCAGGUGCUACCAUGAGUAGUAAUUAGAGUCUACAUGUUCAGUCACUCUGAGUCUUGUUCAGCCAUUGAAGCUACGAUCAGUUGGAUCCUUCCACGAGAACUCUGUCUGUAUGGAGAUCAAUGCAGCUGCAUAUACAUUCUCCACGCUUACGUUUGAUGAGGGUCCCUGGUUCUUUUGGAGGCUCCUCUACUUCAUUUAGAUUAUAAUUUAUGUACAUAAAAACGUAUUGCCUCCAUUACACAUACAACCUCCUCGUCAUGCUGAUGUACCUUGAUUAGUGCUGAUGCCCUAUGAAUUGUCACCUGGCUGCCAAUAAUGGUUUUUUCUAUAAUUAUUAACUAUAGUAUAAAUAAAGAAACUGCAGUUAAUCAUGUCGCGUUACUAUUAUUACACUAAGCUUCGGUGCAACUUGAGGAAUGAGUUCCUUCACAUCGUAUGCAAGCCACACCAUUGCUACAUGACCUGGGGCUUUGCCUGCUGUAAGGUCUUGAAACAGGAAACAAGCAAAUCCAAACUGGUGUUUUACUAUAAGCUUGUUCUUGAAGGUAGCCUAUAUCGUAAGGGCUACCUGGAGGUCCCUCAUGUACCUUGAUCAGUGCUGAUGCCCUAUUUCUUUACAUUUAUAAAUCGUAAGCAGUUAAUCGUGUCACAUUCUAUCAGUACCACAAAAUAGUAGCCCUGGACGAACAUCAAUAGUUCGUCACUUUCAAUUUCUCUUUUUAAAGUUUUUCUUUGCUUGUGAAGUGAUUUAUUAUGUAAUUGAGAAUGUUCCAGAAGGAAACAGUCUGUUCCAAUUCACUUGUGACAAAUUCCUCCACUAGACUUGAGUUGAUGCUAAAAUUAGAGCUCUCUUGUUCUUUGUAAGGACCAUUGUAACACACUUCGACAGGCCUGUUUUGGCCAAAUAGCCAGUUGCAUAUAUUCCAGCCUGGGCAACAGUAGCCUCAAUAUUGUUCAGUCCUGGUUUGCUUUGCGUUUCACCCACUGAAGUACACAUCAUCUUGUAGUCACCAGAUGACUUUGUUCACCACUAGAGUGUGCCCUUUGUACCCUAAUCAAAAUGUAAAAGUACUGAAUGACUGACACUACGCUGUGGUUAGGUUAGAUUGGACACUGGUACCACCUAGAUUUCCUUCCUCUGUAGUAUAUAUGUGUGAAUCUUACCGAAUUGUCUUUUAAUUGUGACGUGUACAUCACCAGGAUUGCACACAGAACACGGCAUAGCGUCAUGCAGCAUAAGUCUGCACAGUACACACAUACCUGGUGCAGGAGUGGAGGGUUUCAGAGAUUGGAGAUAGUCAAUAACUCCAGUACGCACAUACCUGGUGCAGGAGUGGAGGGUUUCAGAGAUUGGAGAUAGUCAAUAACUCCAGUACGCACAUACCUGGUGCAGGAGUGGAGGGUUUCAGAGAUUGGAGAUAGUCAAUAACUCCAGUACGCACAUACUUGGUUCAGGAGUGGAAGGUAGAGGCUUGAUAUAGUCAACAACUCCAGUACACACGUACUUGGUGCAGGAGUGGAGGGUUUCCGGAGAUAGUCAACAACAUCAGAAUAAGAAUCGUAUGAUUCACUUGCAUUCUCUAAGAUAAUGAUGUUAAUUGAUGCUACAUAGCAACACAACAGUACAAAUCUGUGGUAGGCUUGAUACGGGGGCGGCCGGGUAGUAUAGUCAGGCGGGGUAGUGGUAGGUCCUAGAUUGUACACCGGAACUAUAUCACCUGUCAGAACAAUCACUCACCAGGGUCCUCCCAGAAAUAUUUAAUUUGGUGGUUCGUACGAAAAUUUGGACCAACAAAAAUUACCCGCUAUAGGGACCAUCAUACUCCCAGCUGGGGGAUAGCCAUUCUUUUGAGCGCUUACCGUUGGUGGGACCAUCCUCUUGUUUGGGGGUACAUGUGUUUCAUCAUUCAUUUUUCUCUUCAUCAUCCUGCGAGUCUAGUCUAAGCUAGCUAUUAAGGUCACAUUACGUCCGUGGGCGUACAUUAAACUGCAAUAGCUAAAAUGAUGAGUUCUUCCCUUUUAGUUAUGUCUGUUGUGGUUUGGGGGAUUCUAGUACCCCUUUGACAAGUUUUUUAAGGGAGGAGAAACUAUAUAAUUAUGUAAUGAUGUUGUUGGUUUAAAUGGUGUGUGGUGAAAAGGGUUAGGGGGAAUUAAUUUUAGAUUUUAUGUAAAUUUAAGUCGUUUAGUGCCGCUCUGCUGUUUAAUUGUGGGGUGGCUGUUGUUAAGAUCGUGUAGUAGCCUCUCCAGGUCCUCUUUUGAAGCAUGAGAAUAUCAUCACUUUUUCUAAUUUGCCCAGGAAAAUGUUUGCAUACGUAGUGGCCAUCUUUGUGCCCAUAGCUGGUGCCUCUGAUUUGGCUCUAGGUUCUAUCCCCGAACUUGAAAAUGUUGUACUUUAGGACGAACCUGAGAAAGCUUCCUUUGGGAUGGGCAGGUUGUUUGUUAGUUCAAUGCAUGCCUGGAUGCCCUCUUCUUGGGGAAUAAGCCCAUGACGUCUAUACUGACCAGGAUGGUAUGUGGUAGAAAGGCUGGUCCCUGAGAAAGGAUCUCGAGUCUUUUAUGUAUGAGGGGAAUGGCCUUCAUCACUAGUUAAGGUAGUGGUAAAUAAAUGUGUGAAUGUAUGAAUGUACAUUUGGUCUUCUUUAGGAUGGCAGAUGGAUCGAUGGGGAACAGAAGUCCAAUCAAGUUCACUUUCCUUGAGUCCCAAGUGCCAAGGGGGAUACACUGCACAUAGUCGACUGGAGAAAUCUCUGUGAUAUGGAUCCCAUAAACCCUUAGCGACUACAAGAGACGAGAGACUAUGUUCAUUAUUUACACAGUAGGCUUUUCCCAAUUAUUCUAUUUUUAUGCCGAGAGAGUCUACUUAUUAUUCUUUUUUUGUCCCUUUAUUCCCUAAAUAAAUUCAGUUUUAAUCAUUGUA